UAUUAAAAAAAGUCAUACUGAGCAGGCUUUAAAAGUAUUUCUCAGUCAUGUAAUUAUGUUUUAAUGCCAGGUUCUUAAAAUGACUUAGAAAAGAAGAAGCAGCUCUGAAAAUUUCAGGUCUGAAAUGUGUUAGAAGUAUCUGGGGCAGCAGGAGGAUGCAUCAGGAAACGGGUGACAUUUAAUAGGGCUUAAGAAUGAAAAUGAUGACUCUCCACUUUCACAUAAAUGAAACCUCUAUAUCAAAGUUGAAAUUAGAUGGACAAAGCCUUCUGAAUUCUUAAACCUGGAAGGUGGAGGUGAGAACUUGCUGGUGAGAUGUGGAUCAGGCCUCCCUACUCUGGUGCCCCAGGCAUACAUGAUGGUGCUUCCCUAGCAGGACAGCAUGUCAGAACAGCUCAGGGUGCAGUCAUGGACAACAGCACAUGCCUAGGAUGCCUACCUACUGAGCAUUUAUUUGGCUGGAGGAAGAUUUUGAAAUAAAGGAAAUGUGUGAAUUUCUUUUCUCCAAAAAUUUCCUGAUCCAUUCUUCCCUUGGCAAACACUUUUAGUCAUUGCAUUUAUUUAUACAUUUAAUGUAUGCAUGAUCAUUAUUAAUUUCUACUUCAUUGGGAACUAUUUGAAGGAAGUGACUUCCUCUGUGUUCUCAUAUCUAACAUACUGCAAUGAUUCUGUGGUAAGUGAUGU
rnacentral:lncRNA from 1 species